rnacentral:piRNA from 1 species
UCCUCGCAGUGUUGCUGGGCCACGUCAGGA